rnacentral:rRNA from 1 species
UGAGUAGGCGGUUGUAUAUGUCGGGUGUAAAAGGCUAUGGCUUAACCAUGGUUAGCACUUGAAACUGUACAACUUGAGUGCAGGAGAGGUAAGUGGAAUUCCUAGUGUAGCGGUGAAAUGCGUAGAUAUUAGGAGGAACACCAGUGGCGAAGGCGACUUACUGGACUGUAACUGACGCUGAGUCACGAAAGCGUGGGUAGCAAACA